GGAUCCCUGCCCAAGGCUCCCGCGCGGCCCGGAGGACUCUCACCCGGGACGCAGGCCUCCUGCGCUCCAGGUGGAAGGCCUGUCUCGUGGCUUCCCCCGCGAAAGUUUGCAACAAAGGCAACGAAUUAAACAUGCAGACCCAGCCUUGAACAACAGGAAAAGGCAGGAACUUUUCCAUCUUUGUUGCUUCAGGGACAAGGACGGAGGAAAAUAAGUAACACCGCCCCCCUCCCCGAACAAUCCUCGCGCUUCAGUCUUGACUGGAAAGAGCCAGCCAGGGAGUCUGGUCCAGAAAGGAGGCCUGGCAUCACGCUGUGGGGACAUUCAAUCAUGGAGCAUGGGGACAGGCCCAUAUGAGGAGGACUGAGGCUCCCUCCAGCAUCCGGCACCACCGUGGGAGCCAUGUAAGUGAGCAGCACACCACCUUGGAAGUGGACCUCCAGCCUGUCAAGCCUUCAGAUCUGCAGCCCUGGCAGAGAUCUUGAGACCCUCAUGAAAGACCCAGAGCCAGAACUGCCCAAACUACUCCUGAAUUCUUGGCUCACAGAAAUUGUGAGGAAUAAAUGUUUAUUGCUAUUUUAA